AAGCUGAGCUGCAAGAUGGAUCUGGUCACGACCGGUCGCAGGGCUUCCACAGAGCAGCCGGAGCAGAAUAUGCACUGUACGCGGCGUGGAUGCAGAAGCCCUGGUACCAGAAAGCUGCAGCCUGCGCCCCCCAGUCCACCACGCCUCCGCCGCGCGGGAGGGGGCGGUUGCACAGCCAAUCGCUCUCCAGGCCGCCUGCGAUCUCACAGCUCAUGCCUGCCUCUAAAUCCUGGGAGGCCCAUCUGCAGGGUUCUAUCCUCUUUCUGGCAGCCCCCUACCUCCGCGAUAGCCCAGGUUUCUACUAUAUUUUACAGCCUUCUUGGGUCUCACCUUGCUAGCUCUAAGCCCGCCUCUGCCUUGGACGCAGGGAUGGAAACCCAGCCCCUCAGCCAUCAGAGGGUAGUCUAGACGGUCCUCAGCCAGGAAAAUCCACUUUUGGCCACGAGAAUGGGUCAACAGAAUGUCAGCAAGCCCCUAGACAGGCGACAUACCAGAGUAGCUAGAACUGACACCAACAGCUCCAGUUUUGCCAAACUAGAAUGAUCUGUGACAUAGCUUGAUGUAUGCUGCAGGCUAUAGUUGUACGUGUAAUUCCUACUUAAUACGCACGAUGCAUGCAGAGGGGUCGGGGCUUGGAAACAGGCCGUGUAACUUGAGAUAGCAACCUUGCCUAUUGGCAGUUAUCUCUUCAGUGCCUAGAAAGGGAGAACUUUAAAAAACGGGUUUUCGAAAACCUUUCUCCCACUAUUUUGAUUAUCUAUCCUGACACCUGGGCGGCCGC
rnacentral:lncRNA from 1 species